rnacentral:lncRNA from 1 species
GCCAGAGAGUGGAGGAGCCGCGCGAUAUCCAUCAUAGGAAGUGGAGCAGAGUCGUGGCCAUUAUUGUGGUCUGCCAGGGAGUGAUGGAGCCGCACGGAAUCCAUCACAGGAAGUGGAGCAGAGUCGUGGCCAUUAUUGUGGUCUGCCAGGGGGUCCAGACCUAUCGGCCAAAGUUCAGUUGGAGUCCGAUCUCCGUAGAAGCCCGGAUGGGGAU